UGCAGCUGCUGCUGCUGAUGAUGAUGAUGAAGAUGAUGAUGAUGAUGAUCAUCAUCAUCAUCAUCAUCAUCAUCAUCAUCAUCAUGG
rnacentral:pre_miRNA from 1 species